AGGUGGAGGAGCAAUGAUGGAAAGUGAGAAAGCAGCUGCUGCUUUCUCACUUUCCAUAAACUUUUCUCUCA
rnacentral:miRNA from 1 species